rnacentral:sRNA from 1 species
ACAUACAAAGACAAAGACUCAUAUGGACUUUGGCUAAACCAUCAAAGCUUUGAGAAGCAAAAAGAAGUUAGAUUAGAGUUUUGGAGUGAAAUAUGCGUAGACGUCAUGUGUAUAAGUGAG